rnacentral:lncRNA from 1 species
AGGAAAUGGAGGCAUGCUUACUAUCGGUUUAUUGAUGGAGUUGGUGACAAGCUCUGUGUAACUUUGAUGGUAAAGUUAAAUAGCUUUCGCAGAAAUCGAGCUCCUGCUAGCGAAGGUUUGUGAAACCUACUUCACAUAUAUUUAUUGAUUAUAACACUAUUGAGUAUUUUGUUCUAUUAACAACGCACUUUCAUUACAUGUCAUGAGUUGCUAUUAUAUAUUUCUAUACAGAACUUCUAACCAUUUAAUUUGUUUCACAUUUUAUCAGGUGUUAUGCAUGUGGCAGAUCAUGAAAUGUUAAACUGAUGAGUUCUACGAGAUGAGAAUGAAAUCAUAUGUAACUACUUGCUGCAGAAUUGAUUUUUCACUUUAUUACUGUUAUAUUCAUAGACAUUGUGGUUCCAAUUGUUGUAUGUUACAGUGCAUUUUCUUAGAAGAGUAGUUUUCGAGUUCAUGUUAUUUCAUGUAAACUAAGUGAAAAAUUCUACAAUGAGAUCCACAAAUAACUAAACA